rnacentral:rRNA from 1 species
UACGGAGGGUGCGAGCGUUGUUCGGAAUUAUUGGGCGUAAAGGGCGCGUAGGCGGUGCGGUAAGUCACCUGUGAAAUCUCCUGGCUCAACUGGGAGCUUGCAGGCGAAACUGCCGUGCUGGAGUGUGGGAGAGGUGCGUGGAAUUCCUGGUGUAGCGGUGAAAUGCGUAGAUAUCAGGAGGAACACCUGUGGCGAAAGCGGCGCACUGGACCACAACUGACGCUGAGGCACGAAAGCGUGGGGAUCAAACAGG